GAUGACGUCGACUACCUGCCACCGUCACGUAGGAGGAGAAAAAGGUAAAACCUGGGGAAGGGGCAUGGUUGAGUAGCCCAUCACCCUUCUCUACAAUGACCAUCAGCCUCCAAUGCAUCUUGGACUGGAAACGGAAUGCAGCUGGACCGGUGCACGGUGGUGGUGAUGGACCUACAAAGGCCGAUAAACGGGGGCAAAGUCGACUCUCCGUCGUUACGAUUCUAGGAGAAAAGAACCCGGAGAGUUAGAACUGGGAACGAACAAAAAGAAGACCACGAUUUGGCGGGUUUCUUGUCUUAGCAUAUCUACCUAUUUCUACGUUCGCAAUUUGUUCAAGGAUUCAGGAUAAUCGUUGAAGUAGUUCGAGGGAAAUAAACGAAACUACAAUACAGAGUUGUGAGCCUUGAGUGAGGUCUGUCAAACAGGCGAGUCACGGAAAAUUUUCAAGUGUACAGCAUCGCAGUACUUGGAAUACCGAAACCUCGGCACGUACGCUGGAAGAUCUUGAAUUUAGAUUGACUGACAGGCAAUACUGAGCAACCUAUGUUACGUCGUACACGUACAGCAUCAUCAAACGAUGAAUUAUUGGAGAUCUGAAAAUGUCACAUGCAUGUGUAGCCAAGAUUUGGCAGUAUGGAGAACGUCGAAUGCAUUUUUUACUGGAGAAUAAUAAAUUCGCGUCAAGUUCAUCGGCUGGAAGUCUUCAACACAAACGCAUGAUGUCGAGCAGCACAAGAUGAAUGAACACUGCAAAUCACACGGAUUUCAAUGGAAGAAGGUCCUUAAUAAGUGGCACGGAAGACAUAUAACAGUGAUCAAGCGUUUAUCGUUAAACUGAGCAGAUUCAAAAUAUCUGAAAAUGUGCUUAAACGAUUUGCUUGGGAAACCACGUUUAGUUCAAUUUAGUUGACGUUAAUUGGAUCGUGGAGGUGAAAAUUUAUGUGCGUGAUAUUGAUGGGUGUUAAUUAGUUAAUUAGUUAGUACGUUACCCUAUAAUCUGCAUAGUAUCAUCAAUCAUGUAUUUCUAAUUAAAUAUUUUGUACUGAUAUGAAUAUGGGAAAUGAUGACAAAACUAUGUUGUAUGAAUGCUCUCUGAUUAAUUAUUGAUACGAAGGUCGCGACGAGUCUGAAAACGCGUCUCAAACUGAUUCUAGGACCAUUGGUUUUUCGCCGCAACAGACACGGAAUGAAUCUAACUCCUGUAAGAUUUUUACGGACAAAGUUUAGCUACUUAUUUUUUUCGAUAGAGAACCGUUGCGUAGUCUGAGCUCACCGCGAACGGCGUAUUACAAUAUGUCGUGAUUUUUGCCCAAAAUUUUGACAAUUUUUGAUAACGCUGGAAACAAUUCUUUCAUGCACUUUCAUACACACGUAAUUUUGAGAUAAAAAUCGAUUGCGCGCAGUCCGAACACGCCGCGCGCAAUGGGUCAAGAGAUUCAGCCGACAAACAAGAAAAUCUUGCGGUAUUAUCAGUUGUUGGUCCUUUGCGAUUGUAUGUACCCAUUCUUCAUUUUCGAGGGUCCGAUUGGAGUACAAACUUCGCAAAGACAGCAAGUUUUACCUAACAAAGAAAGGUUCAGAAGUACCAUCCAAAAUACAAAGAAAAUUUUGACUGGGUUUCGACAAGGUGAUAGAGAAAAGUCAUAAAUUCAUGGCUCAAAGUUUCGAUUUAUUCCGUAUGACUUAAUUCUAGUACAAGUGUUCCUGUGUCAGUGUGUAGUUAUUUAAUAGGUUAACAGAUAGAGCUGGAGUUGAAAACUAAGGAAAAGCAAUAAUAUCAUUGAAUAUGUGAUCAGUAAUCUAAUUAUUGGAUGAGAAAAUAUGUGUGCAAUAUACACUGUCAUGGGCAGACCAUGAAAAAUAUUAUAUCGGAUGAUUAUAAUCAUAGUUUGAGUACACAGCUCAAAUUUCGGCAGAGGUACGCUAGCGAGAAAUGUAUGCACGAACGAUGAAUGUUGUAUAAUAUUGUAUCG
rnacentral:lncRNA from 1 species